GAUGAAGAACGUAGCGAAAUGCGAUAAGUAAUGUGAAUUGCAGAAUUCAGUGAAUCAUCGAAUCUUUGAACGCAUCUUGCGCUCCUUGGUAUUCCUUGGAGCAUGCCUGUUUGAGUAUCAUGAGCAAAUCUCAAAGUCAAUUCCUUUUGUUGAUUCAAUUGGUUUUGCUUUGGACUUGGAGGCCUUGCAGAUUUCACAGUCUGCUCCUCUUAAAUGCAUUAGCUGGAUCUCAGUAAUUAUGCUUGGUUCCACUCGGCGUGAUAAGUAUCACUCGCUGAGGACACUGUUAAAAAGGUGGCCAGGAAAAUACUGAUUGAACCGCUUCUAACGGUCUAUUAAGUUAGACAAUUACCCUUAAGUUUGAUCUCAAAUCAGGUAGGACUACCCGCUGAACUUAAGCAUACCAAUAAGCGGAGGA
rnacentral:misc_RNA from 1 species